AGCCACCUGCAAGGGAGUGGGGUCGCUGGGGAUCCCUGCCACCUGACCUUCAUAUACCUCACCAAAGGCUCCGUGGCCCAAACCCCUGGACAGACCAGAGAAGACAAGAAGAUUAAUGGAACACCGCCUGGGCAUCCAUUGGGGAAAUUAUCUGUGCUACUUCAUCUGAUUAACUAAUGUGACUCAGAGUUCUUCCGAGAAACAGCUAUGCUUCUUCCAGAAUCAAGUUUCACCUGCAACAUUUGAGCAAGAAGUUGGCGUUCCAGUGAGUGACGUGUAAAUUAAUUGAAAAGGAAAGCCUUUGCAUUGCUCUGUGGCUAUCUAUCUCAUGGCCACCUUGCACUGCAAGUGACUGGGCAAAGUAAAACCUGCAGGGAUGUUUUGUGUGUCAGUACUGGUCAUCGUCAAGAAAUGUGAGAGAAUAACACCAUCACACUAUGUGGAGAAUAAGACCAUAACUAGGGUCUUAUUCUCCAUGUAGCGUGUUCAUCAGCCUGCGUGUUACACACAACAGUGUUGAAUAGAUCUCUGGAAACUUCAGGAUCUUUUAGGGUGUGGCUGUGUUGUAUGUUUCAAACCUUUUGCUGGACUCCUGUGUACAAGUUCUGGAGGAAUGCCAAGCCAUUAUGAGCAAUGGUAGGGCUGAAGCAAUUCACUGGGUACAGGGCCUGAGAACAGAGAGGACAGGGACAGUGGCGGUGAUGAUUGUUCAUCACUUCUGCUGAAACUGGAUUUCUAAGGCAAAACCAGCAGCUGCAUGUAAGAGCUUGUUCUCAGUUACAAAGGAGCAAAUCUAGUCCCUUAUCCUUGAAAGCAAUGGAACUUGUUUGGAUAUACUGUCAGGUAAAUAAAGUGGUACCUGUCUUUCAGAUCGUACUUCCUGCUGUGCAGGCUGAGCAGGCUCAGGGACCUGGGGAAGGCAUUUUAUUAUCCUGUUGUCUCCUGAGCUAUAGGAACAGCAUUUUCCUUGUUUUAAUAUGAUUUCUUAAGAAGGAAAUACUACAGCCUGUGAUCCAUCACACAAGCCAAAGAUCACAUUAGCUGUAAUUACUUUUGGCUGAGCUCAUAUCGGUCAAUGCAGUCUUUGGGACUUCAGGGUGGUGCUGAUCCUGUUAUUUCACUAAAGCAACAGUAAAUAUGGGCCCAUGAAAGCAACAGCCUUGACAGACUCAGCCUGAGGUUUCUUAAAUGCAUUAUAGGAUGUAGAAAGUAACAAGAUUAAAUCUGGGUAAAAUGCAUAGCCCAGGGACCAAACAAGCAUCUGCACUGUUUACUGAGAGCAGGGACUGAGAAACACAAAGGGAAAAGGUGAUUUGGUACUGUGGAGACACUCAGAAAUGUAAUGACUUCCCACUGCAAGAAGCUGCAGCACAAGUUUGCUGAUGUAUGCCCUGCCUGCACCAAGAGGGCAUAAAGAGGGAAAAAAUGCUGUAGGAGUGAUUUCAAACCCCAAGGGCUAGAGACAAUUUUUUGGAAGAGACUUGAAUAGGAUGGAGGAUCAAAUGCAGAAAUUAGGCAAGAUGGCUUCAAUAUCACAGGAAUUGCCUUGAACCUUCACCCGGAGUUCAAUACAGAUGAUUUCUAUUGCUCAAAGUACCUCAGUGACCUUUUCUUCUACCUCCAUAGAAUUUGACUCCCAUUAUUUCUACUUUCCAAUCAUUUCUUUAAAUUGCAUUCUCCAUAUAGAACAGGGAAUAGAAGAGCUAGAAGAUGUGUCCCAUCAUAUCAGACCUAGUGAGAAGAAGGAGGCAAAAAAAAUAAUAGCAGGGAGAAGCCUAUGGCCAUACGAUUUCUGGCCUAACACCUACACACUCACUUUAGAUUAACUUUGUGUCCAAAGUUCAGGCCAAUUUCCAAUCUGAUACUGGUAUUUAAUGGCUUUUGUGUUACUAAAAGAGUAGGUAUCCUGGAUAGAAAACUACAGUAGGCUUGGGCAACUACAUUACCACAUAAGCACGGACACUCCUAUGGAAUGUCCAUAACUUACACUUGUGUGCGGAUCCUACCUAAAAACAACACUGAAAGCACUUGAAAAGCGGUUCAACUUAGGCAGGUAAUGGAGAUACAGGUAUCAAAGGAGACAUUUCAAAGGAUCCACUAGGGGGAGUGGUGCAACAGAAUUGUGCUGGGCCUAUAAUACAGAGGACAAGACAUCAAAACCAUCCUCUGCUGCAGGCUUCAGUCCCCACCUGGAGUACUGCAGACACAUCUGGGACACCCAGCAUAAGAAAGAUGUGGAACUUUUAGAGUGGGACCACAGCAGGGCCAUAAAAAUGAUCAGAGGGCUGGAGCACCUCUCCUAUGAAGAAAGGUGCUCUCUAGCUGGGGAUGUUCAACCUGGAGAAGAGAAGGUUCAGAGGGGACCAUAUUGUAGCUUUUCAAUACUUAAAGGGGGCUUAAAAAAAAGAUGGAGAGCAACUUUUUGCUAGGUCAGAUGAUGACAGGAGAAAGGGGAAUGGUUUUAAACUAAAAGAAGGGAGAUUUAGUUUAGAUAUUAGGAGGAAAUUUGCCUCAAUUCAGGUGCAGAAUCUGACACUUGCUCUUGUUCAAUUUCAUGUGAUUGGUGAUUGCGCAGCCCUCUAAUUUGUUAAGAUCUCUUUGCAAGGCCUCUCUACCCCUGAGGGAGUCAACAGAUCCUCCUAAUUUAGUAUCAUUUGCAAAUUUACUUAGCAUGCAUUCAAGUCCUGCAUCCAGAUCAUUUAUGAAAACAUUAAAGAGAACCCUAAAGCACAGCAUCCUCUCAUGAGGGCUCAUUCUCCCUAUCUAAUACAUCACUUCUGCACUUUUCUUGCUGCGUGAUGCUCAGAACAGAAAAUAUCAACAAACUCUACUUAAUGGGAACUCUUGGCCUACACUACAGACAUCAGCCUCCACCACCACAACUAGAGCUCACUGGUUCAGGUACCAGCAGCUGCCCUGCUGAGCCUAAUUCAGCUUUUCAAGCAGGCUUUGAAGACUGUGUUGAGCUUUUGAUUGCACUGGCCAGACUGCUGCUGGUAUCGGAGCUGACUUAACAUGAGCUCAUGUGUUUCAACAGUACGCUGCAGGUAGAAGAGUGAAGCAUAACGUAGAAUAGAAUAAAUCCCUGAGCUUAUUCACAAGGUAAAGGAGGUAUAUACCAACCAUGCCCCUGUUCUCUAACUUAAGAGAGGUGAUAUUUCAAAUCAGCAGGCGUCUACAGCCCUAUGUGAGGAAGAACAGCUUCACACAGUGCUAAGGGUGGCAUUUGUAGCAAAUGCAUGUUUCUCUCUUGUAGUCAUCCUUCAUUUACAUGGUCAGUCCUGCUCCCCCAGAUAGGUCUGGAGUGCUGUCCCAGGUUAGUUGUGGCCACCUGAACUGAAUCAGGAAGAAAGAACAGCAAGGAAGAGGGAAAAGUGGUAGACUGUAAUAGAAAUGCAUAUGUAGCUCCUGAAACAUAUAUUAGAAUGUGUGGGCAAGCCUGGAAUGGGGAAGAGACAAAUGCCUGGGAGACAGUGAUGUGAUGGGAAAGGAAAUCUUGCAUAAUUUUGUAUCACACCAUUACAACUAAGCUGGAAAGGGGAACCAGGGCGAGAACCAAGUAUAGAAGACUGCCAUUUCUGACAAAAAUUAUGUCUUUAAAAUCAAGUCCCAUGCUGUACUUUUUCAAAUGAGGAAUGAAGAUAUUACUGAAAAAAAGGAAAAGUUUGAAUUUUGUUAUUUCAAACCAAGCUUAUAUUAACUACAGAUGAGUGUUUAGGUUACCACAUGCUGGACUCAGUGAAUUUCGACACUUUGGUUUGAUUCCUUCCUAUUUUUAAAUGAUCAUGAGAUCAAAUAAAUCUGUUUUACAAUUUAAAAGCAAUCUUUACUUUAAGAAGAGCCUCACUCUGGUUCUUUUCUUUCACAAGCCUGCAAUCAAAAUCCAAGUUGCAGUUAACAGCUAAAGGUAAUUGUUUUCUACAUUUUUUGUUUGUUUGAAAGAGACUUGGGAAAAGAUCUGAGGAAAGGCUUUGGUUAAAAAGAAGGAAAAAAAAAAAGAAUCAUAUUGCUUUUAGCCACAUUCAGUUGAAAUCUGUACUUGUUAGAAACCUGCUGUCUGAGAAUGCUUCUCAGAUCAGACAAUUACCUGCUGGACCAGAAAUGGGGGCAGUGCUGAGUUGGAGAUUUCCCAGAAGCUUUUGUUCCCAUCCAAACUUUUUCUUGCCACCUCUACUAGUGAGCAAAUUGCUUGAGUCUG